GUCUGCGUCCUCCACGAAAGCCUUGUACUCUCCACCACAAUUUGGAAGGGGAAAGUGAAGUAUAAAGUAGUGCUGUUUUUAAUUUAACUUAAUUGUAUAUACAAUUUGGGAAUGAAUUUUAAUUAGAUAUAACAAUAUAGAAGUAUAUAGAAAGAAAAAAAACGAAGAAGAAGUGGAUAAGAAUCUUCUUCUUACUUUCUUAGUGGUGAAGAAGAAGAAAGAAGAUACUCUUUUGCGUGGAACUAUCCAAUCCUCAACACCUCUCUUUCGUUUCCCCGCCCGCCUCUUUCUCUCUUCUU